rnacentral:rRNA from 1 species
ACGCCGCGUGAGUGAAGAAGGUUUUCGGAUCGUAAAGCUCUGUUGUUAAGGAAGAACGAGUGUGAGAAUGGAAAGUUCAUACUGUGACGGUACUUAACCAGAAAGGGACGGCUAACUACGUGCCAGCAGCCGCGGUAAUACGUAGGUCCCGAGCGUUGUCCGGAUUUAUUGGGCGUAAAGCGAGCGCAGGCGGUUAGAAAAGUCUGAAGUGAAAGGCAGUGGCUCAACCAUUGUAGGCUUUGGAAACUGUUUAACUUGAGUGCAGAAGGGGAGAGUGGAAUUCCAUGUGUAGCGGUGAAAUGCGUAGAUAUAUGGAGGAACACCGGUGGCGAAAGCGGCUCUCUGGUCUGUAGACUGACGCUGAGGCUCGAAAGCGUGGGGAGCGAACAGGAUUAGAUACCCUGGUAGUCCACGCCGUAAACGAUGAGUGCUAGGUGUUAGGUCCUUUCCGGGACUUAGUGCCGCAGCUACGCAUUAGCACU